rnacentral:rRNA from 1 species
UACGAAGGGGGCUAGCGUUGCUCGGAAUCAUUGGGCGUAAAGCGCGUGUAGGCGGCCAGAUAAGUCCGUUCUGAAAGCCCGGGGCUCAACCCCGGGAGGCGGAUGGAUACUGUUUGGCUCGAGUCCGGAAGAGGCGAGUGGAACUGCGAGUGUAGCAGUGAAAUGCGUAGAGAUCGGGAGGAACAUCUGUGGCGAAGGCGGCCAUCUGGACCAGCACUGACACUGAGGCACGAAAGCGUGGGGAGCAAACAGG